AAAAUUAUUUGUUGGUUUUAUCAAGGUGGAGACUAUUACACCUUCGAGUUUAUUUUUAACAUGAAGGUUAGGUCUUAGUUAGUCUUGAUCAAUAAAGGCCUACUCAGUUCUGGAAUGACAGGAAGAAGCUCCUAGUUUGAUUGGAUCCAUUUCUAAUAUGAAAAGGCUUCAAGAACUCUGCUUUCUUUAGCGAAGAAUAGGCAUAUGAAUCCUCGCUCUCCUAUUUGUACUGACAUUUCGGGUGGUGACUCUAAUUUUUUUCUAUGGUUACAUGAUCAUUGUAUUCUAGAUCUCUAGACCAAAUGACUCUUUUUGAAAUUGGCCUAGUAUGAAAAACAG
rnacentral:lncRNA from 1 species